CGCUGGCGGCAGGCCUAACACAUGCAAGUCGAGCGGUAGCACAGAGAGCUUGCUCUCGGGUGACGAGCGGCGGACGGGUGAGUAAUGUCUGGGAAACUGCCUGAUGGAGGGGGAUAACUACUGGAAACGGUAGCUAAUACCGCAUAAUGUCGCAAGACCAAAGUGGGGGACCUUCGGGCCUCAUGCCAUCAGAUGUGCCCAGAUGGGAUUAGCUAGUAGGUGGGGUAACGGCUCACCUAGGCGACGAUCCCUAGCUGGUCUGAGAGGAUGACCAGCCACACUGGAACUGAGACACGGUCCAGACUCCUACGGGAGGCAGCAGUGGGGAAUAUUGCACAAUGGGCGCAAGCCUGAUGCAGCCAUGCCGCGUGUGUGAAGAAGGCCUUCGGGUUGUAAAGCACUUUCAGCGGGGAGGAAGGCGUUAAGGUUAAUAACCUUGGCGAUUGACGUUACCCGCAGAAGAAGCACCGGCUAACUCCGUGCCAGCAGCCGCGGUAAUACGGAGGGUGCAAGCGUUAAUCGGAAUUACUGGGCGUAAAGCGCACGCAGGCGGUCUGUCAAGUCGGAUGUGAAAUCCCCGGGCUCAACCUGGGAACUGCAUUCGAAACUGGCAGGCUAGAGUCUUGUAGAGGGGGGUAGAAUUCCAGGUGUAGCGGUGAAAUGCGUAGAGAUCUGGAGGAAUACCGGUGGCGAAGGCGGCCCCCUGGACAAAGACUGACGCUCAGGUGCGAAAGCGUGGGGAGCAAAACGGAUUAGAUACCCUGGUAGUCCACGCCGUAAACGAUGUCGAUUUGGAGGUUGUGCCCUUGAGGCGUGGCUUCCGGAGCUAACGCGUUAAAUCGACCGCCUGGGGAGUACGGCCGCAAGGUUAAAACUCAAAUGAAUUGACGGGGGCCCGCACAAGCGGUGGAGCAUGUGGUUUAAUUCGAUGCAACGCGAAGAACCUUACCUGGUCUUGACAUCCACAGAACUUUCCAGAGAUGGAUUGGUGCCUUCGGGAACUGUGAGACAGGUGCUGCAUGGCUGUCGUCAGCUCGUGUUGUGAAAUGUUGGGUUAAGUCCCGCAACGAGCGCAACCCUUAUCCUUUGUUGCCAGCGGUUAGGCCGGGAACUCAAAGGAGACUGCCAGUGAUAAACUGGAGGAAGGUGGGGAUGACGUCAAGUCAUCAUGGCCCUUACGACCAGGGCUACACACGUGCUACAAUGGCAUAUACAAAGAGAAGCGACCUCGCGAGAGCAAGCGGACCUCAUAAAGUAUGUCGUAGUCCGGAUUGGAGUCUGCAACUCGACUCCAUGAAGUCGGAAUCGCUAGUAAUCGUAGAUCAGAAUGCUACGGUGAAUACGUUCCCGGGCCUUGUACACACCGCCCGUCACACCAUGGGAGUGGGUUGCAAAAGAAGUAA
rnacentral:rRNA from 1 species